rfam:Tyto alba contig8943, whole genome shotgun sequence.
UGAGGGGCUUAUAGAGGUAUGCUGAUCCCCACGUUGAAGUGUUAGUGUACAUAUAGAAGGAAACAAAAUAUACUAGUACAGUUCUUGAAAAAGAAGGAAAUAGUCCAUCUUAUGGCCAGUGUCAGAAUAAAGGCUGUGUAUGAAAAUGAGAGCAAGGGUCUUGCCACUCUAGUAAUUUAAGCUUCAGUACCAA